UUUCAAAUUGAUUUUUACACCACAAUUAGAUUUUUUACACUUCAACACUAUGUAAUUGAUUUUGAAUUUAUAUUUAUAGUACCUAGAGGAUUAAAUUUUAAAACGUGAAUAACAUUGAACAGAAAAGACUGAGUACAAAACAUAUGCGUAUGUAUAAUAGACAUCAAAGAUAGUGAUCAUGGAUACAUGCUGUUAUUGCUUAGCACUGCGCACAGGGUGCAUUAUACUCGCAGUCAUAUAUGUCAUAAUAGGCUUGCCUCUUGGCUACGCUUACGUGAUACUCUCCGAAUGGACUUCGACAGAUACGUGGAUGACGACAAUAACAUAUGGUGCCAACAUAGCGAUAUCAUUAUAUUUCCUUUUCUAUUUAUGCUGUGGAAUAAUUCCGGCCAAACCCGUCUGCUCCGAACUUGAAAAAUUGUUUCUUGUGGAAGUUAUAAUUGCAUUUAUCGUUCAUUUAGCAUGUGGCAUUGUGGCAAUUGUUCGCACCGAUAAAUACGCUUACACUAUACCGUUGACUGUUGUCGUGGCAGAAGGCCGGUAGAGGAAAGGAGUGAAGCUCCUCCUUUCUGACCGUGUCAGCGACGCACGGGUACAAAAGUUCUUGCUAUCUUCGCUGCAACAGGCUUGGCUCACUCCGCGAUUUCGUCGCUUUGCUACAGUUUAUGAUUUGUACGCUAUACUUGUGUCGUACAGUUAUUACAAGGAAGAAAGUGACACCACAGAAUAACUAAUGCGACACACCUCCUUCCCCGUAAUGAAGUUGUCGCAUUUUUUACACCAAAUCCGUAACUAUUUAUGUACCUAUGUUCCUCAACUUUGGUAUAAGUAAUUAAAUAAUCAAAUAAUA